rnacentral:rRNA from 1 species
GUGAGGAAUUUUCCGCAAUGGGCGAAAGCCUGACGGAGCAAUGCCGCGUGAAGGAUGAAGGCCUAUGGGUUGUAAACUUCUUUUCUCAGAAAAGAAUUAUGACGGUAUCUGAGGAAUAAGCAUCGGCUAACUCUGUGCCAGCAGCCGCGGUAAGACAGAGGAUGCAAGCGUUAUCCGGAAUGCUUGGGCGUAAAGCGUCUGUAGGUUGUUUAAAAAGUAUUCUGUCAAAGAUUAGGGCUUAACCCUAGAUAGGCAGAAUAAACUUUUAAGCUAGAGUGUGGUAGAGGCAGAGGGAAUUCCCGGUGGAGCGGUGAAAUGCGUAGAUAUCGGGAGGAACACCAAAGGCGAAGGCACUCUGCUGGGCCAAUACUAACACUGAGAGACGAAAGCGAGGGGAGCAAAUGGGAUUAGAAACCCCAGUAGUCC